rnacentral:rRNA from 1 species
AUGAACGCUGGCGGCGUGUCUAAGGCAUGCAAGUCGAAUGGGUUUAGACCCAUGGCAAACGGGUGAGUAACGCAUUGGUAACUUACCUCGAAGUUCGGCAUAACCUUCCGAAAGGAAGAAUAAUACCGGAUGUGGUCAUUAGACGAAAGUCUGGUGAGUAAAGAUUUAUCGCUUCGAGAGAGACCUAUGUCUUAUCAGCUAGUUGGUGGGGUAAAAGCCUACCAAGGCUAUGACGAGUAGCGGGUGUGAGAGCACGACCCGCCUCACUGGGACUGAGACACUGCCCAGACUCCUACGGGAGGCUGCAGUCAAGAAUAUUCCACAAUGGACGAAAGUCUGAUGGAGCGACGCCGCGUGAUUGAUGAAGCCCUUCGGGGUGUAAAGAUCUUUUAUUAGGGAAGAACUUUUGACGGUACCUAAUGAAUAAGGGGUUGCUAACUCUGU